rnacentral:rRNA from 1 species
UAAAACUAGAGGGACACUUGAAACUAUCUGGACCCGGGCGUUGGUUGACCCGGGCGAAAGGGACCGAAAUCAAGUAGGGAAGUCAGAGAACGUCGAGGCGAGAAAAGCUCUAGCGUAUAAUAAGGUGCCCGUACCGCAAACCGACACAGGUAGAUGAGGAGAGGAUCCUAAGGCCAACGGGAGAAGGGUUGUUAAGGAACUCGGCAAAAUUACCCCGUAACUUCGGGAUAAGGGGAGCUCCCUAAGGGGAGCCGCAGAGAAUAGGCCCAAGCGACUGUUUACCAAAAACACAGGUCUAUGCUAAAUCGAAAGAUGACGUAUAUGGGCUGACGCCUGCCCGGUGCUGGAAGGUUAAGAGGAGAGCUUAGCGCAAGCGAAGGUUUGAAUUGAAGCCCCAGUAAACGGCGGCCGUAACAAUAACGGUCCUAAGGUAGCGAAAUUCCUUGUCAGGUAAGUUCUGACCCGCACGAAUGGCGUAACGAUUUGGGCGCUGUCUCAACAGCCCACCCGGCGAAAUUGUAGUACUGGUGAAGAUGCCAGUUACCCGCAACUAGACGGAAAGACCCCAUGGAGCUUUACUGUAGCUUAAUACUGAGGAUUGGUAAAUCAUGUACAGGAUAGGUGGGAGACAUGGAAACAUUGGCGUCAGCCAGUGCGGAGUCACCCUUGGGAUACCACCCUUGAUUUACUGGUUUUCUAACCUGCGGCCCUGAAUCGGGUCGGGGGACACUGUUAGGUGGGCAGUUUGACUGGGGCGGUCGCCUCCUAAAAGGUAACGGAGGCGCUCAAAGGUUCGUUCAGCACGGACGGAAAUCGUGCAGUGAGUGUAAACGCAGAAACGAGCCUAACUGCGACACCGACGGGUGGAGCAGUAACGAAAGUUGGAGUUAGUGAUCCGGAGGUAUGCAAGUGGAAGUGCCGUCGCUCAACGGAUAAAAGCUACCCUGGGGAUAACAGGCUGAUCUCCCCCAAGCGUCCACAGCGACGGGGAGGUUUGGCACCUCGAUGUCGGCUCGUCACAUCCUGGGGCUGUAUUCGGUCCCAAGGGUUCGGCUGUUCGCCGAUUAAAGUGGCACGCGAGCUGGGUUCAGAACGUCGUGAGACAGUUCGGUCCCUAUCUGUUGCGGGCGUAAGAGAUUUGAAGGGAGCUGUCCUUAGUACGAGAGGACCGGGAUGGACAGACCUCUGGUGCACCAGUUGUCCUGCCAAGGGCACAGCUGGGUAGCUACGUCUGGACGAGAUAAACGCUGAAAGCAUCUAAGCGUGAAACUCCCCCUAAGAUAAGAUCUCUCAUCCAUUAUGGAGUAAGGCUCGACGUAGACUAUGUCGUUGAUAGGUCGGAGGUGGAAGUGCCGUGAGGCAUGGAGCUGACCGAUACUAAUAAGCCGAGGGCUUGACCU